UACAGAGGGUGCAAGCGUUGUUCGGAAUUAUUGGGCGUAAAGGGCGCGUAGGCGGUGCGGUAAGUCUGUAGUGAAAUCUCUGGGCUCAACUCAGAGUCUGCUAUAGAAACUGCCGUGCUGGAGUGUGGGAGAGGUGAGUGGAAUUCCCGGUGUAGCGGUGAAAUGCGCAGAUAUCGGGAAGAACACCCGUGGCGAAGGCGGCUCUCUGGGACGGUACUGACGCUGAGACGCGAAAGCGUGGGGAGCGAACAGG
rnacentral:rRNA from 1 species